CAGUGAAGCUGUCUGGAUCGCAACCCUUCAAGGGCUUCAUCAUACAGAGCAGCGGUCCGGCUGGCGAGUUUAGCUUCGGGUCCGACGCGAUCAAGGUCGGCUGCUCCCAGGCCACCAUCCGUCACAAAAACGCCCUUCCUAAGACCUCCGUCUCGGCCACGUGGAAGCCGUCUGGGAGCGGCACAGUCUCCUUCAAGGGAACUGUUGUCGAAGAUUUCAAGAACUUUUACGAGCUGAGUGCCGUGUCUGCUUGAGGGAAGAUCAGCGUGAAGUAACACAAGCUCAUUGCCACGUCAACGGAUUUCAGAACUUGCUGGCACGAAAGUCGUACUAUAUCUCGUGAACACGAGGCCUUGGAUGCUGUAUAAGACGAGGGAAGCGGGUUUAUUUUAUCUGUAUUCGGUAGUGGUAACAGUGAAGUUAUAAAGCUGGCCCGCUAGGCCUGUUAGGCCCGUUAGGCCCGCUAAGUAUACUUUAGGCGCGAGGCCAGCCACCUUCACUCGUGGUCCUUUUCAAUCGGCGUCUCUCACGAUGUUGGUAUCUUCCUUUCACGGCUGACAUCUGGCAAUGAAAGGUUGUCCCAUCGCCUGAGUUCAUCGUCAAGUCGUAACAGCAGUGGCAAGCCACCGGAAGAGCGAUGAACAUUUUAAUUGAUUUUUCGCAUUGCCGGUAGAUUUUAUUAAAUCAUUUAAAGUAGGGUGGUGUCUUGCGUUUUAUUUGUGUUUCGUUAGCACAGUAAUAAAACGAUCAUGGCGUCCUGAAUAAAAACAAUGAGGUGUGAAAUA